GGAAGAUGGAGGCUUAAACAUUCUCUGGAUAGGAAUUAACUCAGACCAAUUUUACAAAUAUUCAAACAACAUAUAGUAACUUACCCUCCCAAAAAAUUUCCAGUAUCUGCUUUUAAUGCAUUGAUUGCUGUACUGAAGUAUUAUUCCUGCAUUCGUUUAAAUUAUUUAUUCGAAAAUACAUACAGCAUAGAAUAGAAAUAUUCUAAUUUUGCCAUUUUAAAAGUUAGCAAUCAGAUGUUGACUUUAGCUAUUGUGUGAACGGUUUAGUUAUUAUUUGCAAACUACUUUCUAAAUUAAUUAUUUUUUAUAAUGUUUCAUAUUUUAAAAUGUUGUAAUAAAACCUUGCGUACAAUAAAUUAAUUAUAGAUCUAAUUAAGGUUUUUUGUAUAAAAGGAUAUUCUUAUGUGUGUUGCCGAACUACACUGCUUUCAAUUAGUUCAGAUAAUUGACGCUUUACUGUAUCAUAAUACUUUUAUUAUUCUGUCAGUAGUAAGUGUACCUUCUGGCCGUAUGAAACUGGCCGCAAAUUCUCAGCGGGAUGUCCUGACGUCACGACGUGACGUCACGGUGUUUGUUGGGGAAGGGCGCCCCGUAGAGGUUAUGACGUGUCACCGAUAGCAUUUUCGACUAUGAAUACCCACAGGACUAUGACGUAACGAAUAGAGCUAGGUUAUGACAUUUCGAUAAUUGUGAACAUAUUUAAACCUCAAACAUGAAUUUUAAUAUUGUAAUAAUUUUUUUU
rnacentral:lncRNA from 1 species